CAAUAUUUGUGUGAUUAUUAUAAUAAUACUUCAUCUGCGACAAUUUCUUUCAAUUGCGGAAAUAUUUCGACACCCUAAUCAUAACUCCAACUUGAACUUCUAACUUGUUGCCUCUUGAGGUCUCUGGAUGAGUCUUGGAGUCAACUUGUACAAAUACAAAGAAAAGACCAAACACAUAAUAAUAAUAAAGACAUAUCUUCGUGA